rnacentral:tRNA from 1 species
GUACGGCUGGGCGGCCGGCGACGGCGGCGUGGACGGCUGCGCGGGCGUCGUGCUGCCCGGCGCGCCGUUCGUCUUGCCGGUCGUGCC